CCAGCCAGUUACUCCCGGAAGCGCCGGGACGGGUGGUGAGGGGCCCGGGCGGAAUGGCGCGCCUUAGAGCGGACGGUGUUCGUGCUGCUUUCCGUGCCGUGGUUUCUGAAAGGCGAGACGCCCCUCCUGUGCUGUCCUCAGAAGGGCUCUUCAGAGACCGCACCCCUAGUUUGCGGAGCAGCAGAGCCUGCCCCAGUCUGGACUAGGGACUUUAUUUCUUCCACUCUCACCACUGGCUGAAGGCAGACUCCUGUCUCCACAGACUAAGGAGGAAUUAUCAAAAUGAGCUCGAAACUCUAGAUUUGAGUUAAGUAUCACAAAUUAACACAGAGAAAUACAACUUUAACACAAAGACCUGUUUGGAGCCCCAGGUGGAAUUAAAAAAAAAAAAAACUUGAACAGAGGGAGUGAUAAAGUUUUCCUUCUUUUGCCACCCUCUCUCGGUGGUCCCAAGCUUUCUCAUCUCCCACCUCACAAGACUGUAUCAACUGCUUUGAGACUUUUAGAAUAAAGAUCCCCAGGCAUAUCACUGCUGUUACCCUGUGAGGAUUUCCCCAGUGCUGGGUUAGACUAAGACAGAAUCCUUCCAAGGCUUCCAGGGCCAGUGUACUGGACGGUCAGCACAGGGAGCCUCAGAGCCCACUUCAUUUUUCCUGCAGUUGGGCACGACCCCAGGGACAUGACCCUUGAGAGUGCUGACACUUCCUGAAGCCAGUGACCCUCCCCCUGGGCUUCUCUCUGCCUGGGUCUCAGAGUCUCUGAGGCCAACUUGUACCCUCGGAAGUGUUUCUGCUGAAGGACACGUAAACAGCACUGUGGAUUUGUGUCCUGCAGUCUGCAAAACUGCCUCCCCUGAGUGGGGUGAGGAGCUACUGAAAUACUGAAAUCACUGAAACUAGCAGAAGCCACAGUUCAUGGUCCUGGGAGAAAACUGGGAAGGACGGAGAGGUGAAGAGGCUAUAAAGGCCCAGUCGUGAAGGCGACCAUGGGCCAGGAUGUCCGGAAGUCGCAAAGCUGACCAAUGCUGAGUGCCCUAAAACCUGCCACUCCUGUGCCCAUCUUUUCUUUCAAUGGACAAAGUCUUCCCCUGCUCUUAUGUGCCUGGGCUGGAAGGGCCUUUGACUUAGAACAUGAAGCAGCCUCCAGAGCCUCUUGGGGCAAGUGAUGGUCAAGGAGGCUCUGCCUAACCCCACCCUGCCCUUCCCAGUUGUCAGAGGACCAGGAAUUUCAGUCUUCCAGCUCCUGGGCUGAUCUAGUGACUUGUAACAGGAUUUCGCUGGAACUGGAAGGUGUUGAAGACAGGAAGUACUCCUGGGUUUCUUCACCCAGCUGAAUGCCUAGUUCCUGGUCUUAUUACACGGCCUACAUUCAGGAUAAGAAGAGGCGUUUGGAGCUUUACGCAGGACCUCUUAGCAGAGGUUUCUGUUCAGGAGCGAAGAGGUAAAAAGAAAGCAGUGUCUACUAAGUCCUUUUCCAAGAGUCUCAGGAAAUUCUCAUGAAGACCCUCUCAGGUAAGGACUGACGGGAAAUGCCUUGGUUUAAUAUUAAACUUUGCCCUUGACACAUUUUGUUUAUGGAGGGCAUAUACAUAUUGUCCGCUCAAGGAAGCACUGUAGUUCUUAUCUAGACUUUAUGUAGAAUGAGUAUAUAUAAAACCUAAACUUGGUCCUUAAGCAAGGGGUUACCUCUCAGAGAAGGCCUAUGGGAAGGUUUCUACCAAAUUCUGUGGUGCUGCCAUUGCUCCAAGGAUCCCAGGUGGUGCCAAGUUUGAGCACUCGGCUGUUAACCGAAGGUUAGUUUUUUGAACCCACCAAAAGGCUCUAAGGAGUAAAGACCUGGCGAACUGCUUCCGUUAAGAUUACAAACCAGGAAACCCUAUCGGGGCAGUUCUCCUUUUACACUGGGCCACAAUGACUCAGAAACCCACUCGAUGGCACCUAGCAAUAACAACAGGAAGCCAUUGCCCCCAAUGUGCUUGAGAUGCCUUUCUGGGGAAGGUUGGCCUUCAGAGCCAGCUCAUGGCCACACGGGAACUGAGGCUCAUGUUUUGUUACCACACCUUAGUUUCAGUCAGUAAAUUUAUUUUCCAGUUUAUUCAUAAGACUUGACUGCAGACAUCUCUCAGGUAUUGUCAAAAUUAAUUCCAUUCUCUAAUAAUGAUUUGCCAGGACGUAUUUCCAAGCGUUUCCAAGAGACUGGAAAAACUUUCCAAAGAGGCUUGUCCAGCGCCAUGUUGUGCAGUAACUACAGUGUUGACGUAGUAUAUUAACCACAUAGUUUCCACGUUUUCUGCUUUCCUUAAAUAACAACUGAAAUUCCAAGUCUACCACCUGAAGUACUUCCUUUAGUGUUUCACUUAGAAGUCUGGUGGUGAUGAAUUCUCUCAGUUUUCCUUCCCCUAAGAAUGGCAUUAUUUGAGCUUUACUCCUGAAGGUAAUGAUACAUAGAUACAUGAUACAUAGAAUUCUGGGUUAGUAUUUCCAUCUUUCAGGGUUGAAAAAAUGUUGUUUCACAAUCUUUUUUUUUUUUGGCUUCCAUGGCUUCUGAUAGUGAAUACAGAGUCAUUCAAAUUGUUUUUCUCAGGUGAAAUGUGUUGUUUUCUCUCUACCUCCUUCCUGAGUAUUUUCUUGACCUUUGUUAUUCUGCAGUUGAUUAUGAUGUAUGGUAUUUUUAUGCAAGUAACCCAUGUUCUAUAUAUAUAUAUGUGUGUCAACUGUUUUUCCCCUCCCGGGUAUGUCUGUAAGUACAGUACACUGUUUUUUUCUUUUUACACGCUGCUGUUAAAAAAAAAAAAAAAUUAGAGUAAUGUACUUACAAAUAUACUUGGGAUGUGGGGUAAGGCCCACUGGGUUGGCAAAAAACCCAUAACCCGCAGAAUAUUUUUGUGCAAAUACGGUAUUGGGGCAUAGAAUUCUUUAACUUGCUGUGGUUUGCUGAACUUCUUGAAUCUGUAAGUUUAUGUCUUUCACCACAUUUGGAAAGUGUUCAGCCAGUAUUUUUUCAAAUACUAUUUUCUUCACCACACAUUUUGUCCACUUCUUCUGGAGUUCCAAUAAAUAAGCUUUUUGUCUAGUUAUUGAGGCACUGUCCAUUUUUUUCCAUAUUUUCCUCUCUGUUUGCAGAAUGGAUAUUUUCUACUGAUCUAUUUCAAGUAUUUAGUUUUUUCUCUGUCAUCGCCAUUCUGCUAUUGUGAAAAUAUCAACUGAAUUUUUUAUUUCUACCAUUGUACUUUUAACAUGUAAAAUUUUCAUUUGCAAAUAGCACCUAUUAUCUUUCCAUUUAUUUAAAAAGUGUCUGUGUUAUUUCUUGGAGAAUGAUUAGAACAGCAUUUUAAAAUCUGUGUCUUAUGAUUUUGAGACUACAAGUCCUUCAAAAAUUUUAUGCAGAAUUUUUUUUUUUUAGCAGUCAAUUGACCCAGUUAUGCUCAGGCUCCAAGUUCUGUCCCAUCUUCUGUAUUCUGUGGUUCAAAUGUUAGUUCAAUUUUUGAAGGCUUUGCAGCUGUAUUCAGAUCUAAUCUAUGUGAGCGCCACUCAGUAUGGAACCUUGAUGGCAUUCUAACCCAUAGUGCGGCUCUUAAAGGAUUUUAUAAUGCUUCUUAGGGUCAGGGCAAUGCAUAUGCAUCUCGGGGGUGAACCAGGAGUUCAUAGCAAGUCUGCAGAAUCUCUUUCUUGCACAGCCUCCUCUCUGUCUUUCUCUUCUCCUCUCUGAGUUCUGAAGGAGUGCGUUCUAACCCAUAGUACGGCUCUUAAAGGAUUUGAUAAUGCGUCUUAGGGUCAGGGCAAUGCAUAUGCAUCUGGGGGGUGAAUCAGGAGUUCAUAGCAAGUCUGCAGAAUCUCUUUCUUGCACAGCCUCCUCUCUCUCUUUCUCUUCUGCUCUCUGAGUUCUGAAGGAGUGCUUUCCUGGCCCACUGGUGGAAAUGCUGGGGCUUUAAUCUCCUCAUUCUGUUGUGCACAUAAGUGACUGGUUCUACCUAUGGGGCCAAAGCACUGGACAACCAGCCAAAAGGCUGGCAGUUUGAACCUGUCAAGAAGCGCCUCAGAAGACAAGCCCGGUGAUCUGCUUUUGAAAAGUCUCACCCUUUGAGGCAGAAUUGACUAGGUGCCAGUUAACAGCAGAGAGAGAGAAAAUGUAAUGGAGCUUUCUCUACAAUAUUUGGUUCUUCCAUACUCUGGUCAGAGAAAAGGAUUCUCCUCUGCCAGAGUUUCAGGCGUCUGCCCACCUGCCCAGCUGCUUGUCUCUCUCCUUUACGGACCUUCUAUCCCAUUUAUAUGAGAGAGGGCUUCUCUUGGAGCUAUUUCUGUCCACAACGGGUGUGCAGCUCUGAGAUUUGGGCUCAUUUAAUUUCAGCCUCUGGAAUGUUCAUACUCUAUGUUCUGGUUCCGCCCCUUCCCCAUCCACCUUCAACACUUUCCUUUGCAGAGUCCUGAGAUAGUGUCCCAUGCAUUUGUCCAGAUACUUAGUUGUCAGAUACCAGCAUAGCCAUCGGGGGCAGUGCUGUUGUGGUUGCGGGGGAGGGAGUGUACACUGAAGGAGCUGCAAGACCUGGCUGCCUUGUGUGAGCAGGACGGGGGUGUGCUGAGGAGUGGGUGCUGAAGGUGCUGAGUCAAGGGGAGUUUAAUAUAAAGUUGGGUCAAAGAGAGUUUGUUGACAAGGAUUUAUUGCCGUAGCAAGGGUUCUGGAAAUGGGUUUAAUAUGCUGUGGGAUUGCUUUUGGAAUCUUAGAAAAGGCAAUGGCCCAUAUUCUCUGAAAUCGAAAUGCCAGACCUGCUGUGUCAGAUGUUGGAAGAGGGAUUAAAAGCCUCCAAUAUGUGGGCAUGUCUGAGUUAGUCUUCUAUAAGACCAUUUCUUGGAGGUCCUGAAGGAUACCCAUUUCAUCAAAAGAAUAAGGAAUGCGGAGAUGAGGGGAGCACCAGCAAGAUAGAGCUUACCAAUAUGUAUACUUUGUAGGGAGUCCCUGGACGCCACAAACAGUUAAGUGCUUGACUGUUAUCCGAAAGUUUGGCAGUUUGAACGUACUCAGAGGGUCCUUGGAAGACAGUCCUGGCCAUCUGCUACUAAAGGAUGAAAGCCUUAAAAACACUCUUGAACAGUUAGUUCUACUAUGCCCACAUGGGGUGGUCAUGAGUCAGAAAUGACUUGAUGACAACUAACAGCAACAAUCGUCUAUAGGCUCAGGUUGUUAGUGGGAGCUGGGCUGCCUAGUAGCAAUGCAAAUCAUGGGAUCCCAGCUCAACAGAGGCCAGGUGGAAGUACUUAACUGUCAGAAACAAGUUGUGUGUGAUUCCAAUAAUGGUCAGCAGGUCAGAGUAGUAGUUAUCUAUUGGGGCAUAAUAGAUUCUCCCCAAACUUAGCAGGUGUGAGAUAAAUGGAAAAUUAAUAUUCAACUCAUUCUGAUAAAUUUGGAACUAGACAAAAAUUUUGGUAUCACUCAACACAGUUUUAAGGUGAAGGAAUAAACUAGAAAAUUUAAAUAACUAGUAUAAGUAUAAUAAGAGAUUUUUCAAAGAAUGAUGAUAUAAUUGCAUACCUGAAUAAAAGACAAAUACAUCACAAUCAAUGAUUUCUCUCCAGUAUAGACAUGAGGGUCUCAAAUUGGCAAGGGUGAGAAGGGCAGACCGUUCUCUUUCCCCUACUACUUGACUGGAUCAAACUGUGUUCAAAACUGUAAAAUAUUUAGGAAAACAUUGUUUUGACCAGAGCAGCAAAGGACUUCUAUGAUGAAAACUAAUGUACUAAAAUACAUAAAAUGAAACCUGAAUAUAUGCAAAAAAUAUGCCAUAUUUUCAAAUGAGAAGUCUUGUCAAUCAAAUGGAGGUCCCUAAAACUAAUAUAUAAGUGGAAUGUAUUUCCAGUUGGAAUAUUAAGAUAGUUGUUUUUGAAUUGUAUACAGUAAUCAUAUGCUACAAAUAGUACAGUAGAUAGCAGAGGAUGUUGCUGGUGUUAGGAGACUUGGAGUCCAUUUCUGACUCAUAGUGAUCCCAUUUCACUGCCCCAUAGGGUUUUCUAGGCUGUGAUCAUUAUGGGAGCAGAACAACAGGUCUUUCCCCUCAGUGCCCCCUGGUGGGUUCGACCUGCCAAACCUUCUUUGGAUUAGCAGAUGAGCACUUAAUCACUACAACACUACGGCUGCUUUAAAAGGUAUAGAGAAGAAAAACAUGAAAAAGCAGGAUACUGACAGGUGUCUACCUCUUCAGGUAACAGAACAAAUUGAUAUUACAUAGCACAGAAACUGACAAGUCGACCAAUGAAACAAAAUCUGCUAAGAAGUCACAAUAACCAUUGAUACAAAGGUGGUAUUUUGAGAAAAUUAUAUUUAUUUAAUAAACAGUGCUGACUCAAGUGAUCGUUCUGGGGGACAAAGCUUGCAAAAAUGUGAUACACAAAUGAUAGAUUUGGAAAAUCAUGUGAAAUGGAGAUGACAAGACUUAAUAACAAUUUCCAUUUUACACAGAAGGAUAAAAGUUAAGCACUUGAAAAAUGAGCAGUGAAUUCAAACAGAUCGUUCACAGCAAAUCCACAUGCCCAAUAAACAUAGUCCAAGUUGCUCAAAAACACUGGUAGUUAAGAAAAUAUCAAAGUCCCAGUGAAACUGGCACAAUUUAAAAAUCAACACCAUCUAUGGCUGGCUGGGCUGUGGGGAGAAGGAUACCCUGAGACAUGGCUGGAAAGGUGCUUUAGGACAGCCUCUAGGGGAAAGACAUGGCCAUGGCUCUGUACUUUAAAAACAUACUUUGAGCUGGAAAUCUCACUCUAUGGAGUCUAUUCCACAGAAACAGAUCCUGUAGUAUACAACUGAUAGUUAUUAUUAGUGUUGACCAAACAUUGACUGUACAUUGAUAGUUGAAUGAUAGAUAACUUAUGGUAAAGCUACAUCAUCAAUAAAUGAGUUGUAGUAGUUGAGUGGGAAAAAUCUCUGUGAAGUAUUAUUGAAGUAUUACUGAAAAAAUCAAGGUGCAUGCAGAGAAGUGUAUAUAAAAUGAUCACAUCUGGGUUAAACAAUAUCAAUUGUUUGAAUAUGCUUGAAUACCUGUUUAUGUUUAUGAGUGUGUAUAAGUCCGUGUGCUUGUUUAAGCAAGGAUAAGAGAGAGUACUUACCACAUUGUUAACCUGAAUUAUCUUGGAUUCACUUGCAGGAAAGAACAGAGGGAGGAGAGGUAGAACACGCAGGAAGAGUGGACUUAAAAAGCAUGGAUGAUAAUGUUUCCAUCUUAGUAGUGUUAUGUAUGGAUGAACAAAUCUGUCUUAAAGGGAGAAAGCCAGAAUGUUCCUUAGAAGCAAGGAUGGCUUUGGCCAUGUUAUCAAGAGGGAGGGACCAGUCCCUGGAAAAGGACAUCAUGCUUGGUAAAGCAGAGGUCCAGUGAAAAAGAGGAAGACCCUCAAUGAGAUUGAUACAGUGGCUGCAACAGUGUGCUCAAAUAGAGCAAAGAUUAUUAGGAUUGCACAUGACCGGGUGGUGUUUUGUUCUGUGGUGCAAAGGGCCACUGUGAGUCAGAACUGACUUGAUAGCUUCUGACAACAACAUGUAGAAGUCCAGAUAAAGUGUACUGAAUUGAUAUCAUCUAUUUAAAUUAUUCAUGUAAGUUAAAAGAUCAAAAAAUAUAGUGUUAGUGCCAUAUCUAAUGACUUAAAGAGAAUCAAGGUAGAAUAUUAAGUGAAAUAAGGGGCGAGAGCAUUGUGGGUGGAGUGUGACCAGGCUUUCAUAAAAGUAAACACCCCAGCAGAUGUACUUGUGUACCUGUGACUGUGUGUAUGCGUCCCUGCAGAGAGGUGUAGGGAAGGAUACACGUGUGUCUAUUACCAUCGGAUACCUUGUGGGAGCGGGACCAAAUUACAUAUGAGGGUGGGACCCUGACAUAAAUUUUUUUGUCAUACAAAUCUGUGAUCUUGCAAAUGUGAUAAAAAGCAAUUUCAGAGCUUUGGAAAUUCAUAAACAUCAUAGAUAUAUGUAUAUUUUAACGUGUUUUGUUAGAUAUUUAAAAUAGGUGAAAAUUCUCCAGAAUGACAGACAAAAGAUUUGAAUCACUGGAAGGACAGCACACCACAGAGAGUAAUAAUCAGAUCCAGUGGAUUUCUUGUUGUUCUUGGAGGCAGUGAGUUCUUCUGGUCUCUAUAACUGGAAAUGACCAAAAAUAAUUUUGGGAAGUCAGUAGAGUUACCCCUCAAACACGUCUUGCAAGCACACGUCUACAGCUAAAUUCAGAAGGCUGGAUGCCAUGUGCAAUUCACUAGGUAACUCAUGCGCCUCUAGAAGAUUCUCUUUCCCGGAUAUGCUGCUUCCACCUCCUCCCUGCCUAGCCCCACUGGAUAACCCGCCUUUGUGCAUUCUAGGCCCCAUUCAGGUCUGAGCCUAGAUCAUAGAGGACAUCAACUGGGAAGGUAGCUUUUAAGAAGAAAGAUGUUGAUGAAAAGAUUUCAGAAAGCAGCACCUCCCCAGCCAUCCUCUCCCCAGCCUGGGAAUACCAACCCCUCCCACCCUGAUACCUCUGAGAAUCUCUGAUUUUUCGUUUUGGAUCCUUAGGAGACUGCAGAAUUUACCUGGUCUGAACACCUUGGUUCUUCUCUGCCUCUGACCCUCUGCCUCGCAGGAGCCGUCUCUGUCACUCUGAGGAAUACACACAGGACAGACUGUGGAUGGAGGUGCCCAUCCUAGAGGCCCUGCCCUCCAUUCCUCUGCCCCUGGGGGGUUCCCUGUGAUACUUGUGGUCUCAUUUCCCAGAGAGAUGGAUACACCCCUGUCAUGUCCAGGGCUUCCCCAGACUUGGGAUUUGAUGUCGCGACUGAGACUGGGGCUUUGUUGUCCACUGUUGAGUCUGGCCCUGAAUCUGCCCCUUCCCACCAUUACCUCUGAUCACCUGUGUUCUCGCUGUUCUCCCUGGGUUUGAAGCCUGUCCUCUCUUUUGGUUCUUUCACCUCAGAGGGCCUUUUUCUUCCAGUUCUUUGACCUCGCGACAGGUCAGAUUUGACCACAGGAAAACAAAAAGAAAAUUAGCAAGUUUGUUUGACAUGUCAAGAACCGGAAUGUACAGCUUGAUUUAGGCGAAGAAAAAGUUCCAAAGCUCUACCCCUUCCCCUAGGACAUGCUCUACAGGAAAUAUCCUGCAAGCCCUGGAUCAACUCUUAUCCAGAAACGGUUAACACCCAGGGGGAUUUUUCUACACCACCUCCCACUUACAUUCCCCUAAUGUGGCAAAAAGGAUGCAUCCCAAUCAUAAACCCAAAUUCACCGUAGGAGACCAGAAGACAUGGCUGGGGUGAGUUCAUUUUCCUUCAACCUGCCCUCCUCUCCUCCUACCAAGCCCUGCCUCUUUCUCUGCCUCUAUACUGCUGGGAAGGGACCCAGAGUUGUUUGUUUAGGGCUUUAUGUCCACUGCUCACCUGCAGACAUGUUUCCCACCAGCCUGACAUCUCUCUGAUUCCUUCUCCUCCAAAGAACUCAGUGACACCCCCUUCACCAUCACACCUCAGCAGGGCCCCCCCCAAUCCUCCCAAGUCCCACUGAAAUCCCAUUUCCCUUUCCCUAUUUAUGCUGCGCUCAUCCUUAGGGUCCCAAGAUCUCACCAUCCAGAUGAGGCCUGUCCUGUCCUCUCCUGGGUCAGGGGAGCCUCUGAGGGGACCUGGUGUCUGUGGUCAGCUAUCUGGGGCUUCUUCCAUCCAGAUCCCCCUUAGGGCUGGAGUUCUCUGUGCACUUAGGUUGGGAGGGUUGGGGUCACAGUGGAAGGAGGGUAUGAUCUUCCACGGGGGCUGGGUUAAACGAACCUGAAUGGAGGUCUCUCCUGAAGGGCCCACGUUUCCAGCCCAAAGGCCCUGCUCCUCCUAUUCCUGGGGUUCUAGAACGUCUUCAGGCGCUUCCCCCUCUGGCCUCGGUGGUGUGCCUGCUCCUUCUGCAGCCUGGUCUCCUGCCUCUUCAGCCUGUCCAGCUGGUGCCUCAGCCUCUUCAGUUCUUCUCUCUGCUUCUCCAGCUGCUCCUCCAGGCGUCUGCAGACCGCUCUCUUCUCCCUCACCUCCCUCUUCUUGGCCGCCAUCAGGCAACGCCUGGCCAGCUGGUGGCAGCGUCUGGGCCUGCGCUGCACUGAGCCUGGCAGCCGCCUCUCCAGCAGCUCUUCAAAGAAGACCCGGCAGCUGAAGCCCUGAGUCACACCAUGCUCCGCAUGGGCCACGAGGGCUUCCCCGGACUCGAACACGCGGCAGCAGGCCAUGCAGCGGAAGCCGCGCUCACGGGUCACCAGCCACUCCGGGGUGGUUGCGCGGGGGCUCUCCCCAUGCUCCUCCCCUUGGUCGGUGGGCUCCUGGGUACAGGUCUGGGGCCCCUCCUGCCAGGGCUCCAGGGUGCUGACCAGGGACUCAGUGUUGGCCAGACUGGGGGCAGAGCCGAUGGUGCUCUCCUCAGAGAGCUCGGCUUCAAAGACCUGGGGCAUCUUGCCCACGGGGGCAAAGGAGGUUUUGGUCUGCCAGGAGACCGCCACCCCCUUGACCGUGCGCACCUUGGUGAAAUAUGCACACCUGACCCAUCGCUUUCCUGGGGCAGCCCCGUAGCUGGAGGAGUGAGAGGUCUGCUCGGUGAAAGAUGACAGAAAAGAGUUCUCAGAUUGUUUUGGAAUCUUCCUGGGCCUGGAGCUUCGACUUUUUUCAUGGCAUGUUGUUGACUGUUGCACAUUUUCCUCUUGGAUAGAGACCUCUGAGAAUAGAGAGUUAAUUUACUUGAGCUUUCAGGGUCCUUAUUCUCACCUGUGACCCCAAAUCUUUGGUCAUAGGGACCCCUGGAGGCCUUUCCAUUACCACCUCCUCCACCUCUACAGACCCCAUGGUUUCUUUCUUCUUCCCCAGAGACCCACCACCCUUGGGGGCACUGCUGUGGAAGACAAAGUCUGCAUUGUAAAGUGGCACUGUUUAUGGUAGUUCAUUUUUUAAGAAGUUAUUUUUCUUUAAUUCCACAUUUAUUGAAUUCCAAUGAAUUUGUUCCUUUGGAACUUAGAAAUGACCUCAUUCCCAUGAAGCUUCAAAAUAAAUGUGUGACUUGAUGUUUUGUAUGCGGGUGAUAUUCUUAGUAAAUUUGGAGGGUAAGCACUCCAGAGCAAUGGUCACCUCUUUUCAUCCUCUUUUUACUGAAAGGCUUUUUAUAGAGGAGUUAUACGUAAAGAGAAGAAUGUGUAUAUUUAGUUAUGAUUCUUACAUGUAUACCUCUUCCUUGCACCCUUCUUAACCAGCCACAGUAGAAGAUGAAAAUUGUUUUUCUCAGAAUAGAAGCCCAGUCCUUAGUAGAUGAAGUGAGGCAGAAAGAGAUGGCCAUAUCUGAGAACCUUGAUGCGAGAACUUCAGAUGGAGAACACACAGCCUCCUCCGCUGUGUAUGUCUCAGUGGGUUGUCUGUGUCAACCUAAAGGUCUGUGUAUGUUUCUGAAUCUGUGGGAAGGACUGCAGAGUUCAGGAUGCAGAAAGAGAUGGAGCUAGGUCGGGUGCAUUGGAUGGAGGGAAAGCCUGAGAGAGAGACAAGAUUCAGAGAUGGAACAUGCCAGCAGUGUGUUAGAAGGAUACAGAGAUCAAGGAGGGAGCAGAAAGCAGGGCUCAGCCACUGAAGGGCAGAAUGGGGCAGCAACCAAGAAGACAAAGGGGGGGCAGACUAGUCGGAGAAAGAAUGGAUAACUAAGAAUGAUAGCAGAAACUGAGGUUAGCUAUAGUUGGAAUUUUAAAAUUCUUUCCUGCUAGACUUUGAAAAUAUAAUGCUAAAUGGAAUAAGUUAGUAUUUGCCCUAAGUAUAGGGCAAAUACUGUACGAUCUGACUUACAUGAAAUAAGCAAAUAUAUAGAAAGCAAGGAUUAUUGGUCGUUGCCAGGUGUGGGCAGGGGGAAGGGGAAGUUUUUCCACUGGGGCAUUGAGGUUAUGUUAAUGGUUGUAGAAAAGUUUGGAGAAGGAUAUUGAGAAUGGUUAUAUGACUUGAAGAAUGUAAUAAGUAUCACUGACUCAUACAUUAGAAAUUAUUCAGUUAUGUUUUAUGUAUAUUUUCAAGACAAUUUAAAAAAAUAAAACUUUUCAAUUACAAGAGAAAAAAAAACGAUCUAUACUAUAGCUGUCUUUACCUAGAAGAAAUGUUAAACCCUUAGGUAAAGAUGGUCAGGAGACCUUGGAGAAGGGAAAUCCCUAGAGCUAGAGGGGCAGGGCCUUCCUGGACCUUCUUCUGCCUGAGUCCAGGCUGAGGACUGUGGCAGCUUACAUUGACUGGGAACCUUGAAUGAAUGUGUCGUACUGUGCUCCAUCACACCACCCACUCCCAAAACCUCCUGAUAAAUUUGAUAUAUUUUUUUAAUUCGCAUGAUAUAUUAAUUCAUUCUCAUGAAAAAAUUAAGUACAAGACUCUGUAACCACCCUUCUCCCUGGUUCUAUACCCACUGCCCCAGUUGCCCACCUGCGUUCUUUCCACUAACAAAGCAGGAGAGUUCACAAAUCUGACUUGUCUGCUACUGUUACGGAAAGCCCCUCAGAUGACAGUAGAAUUCUAUACUUCACUCACAUAUUUAUUCCUUCAUUUAUUUAUUCACAGUAUAAUUUCUUACUGUUUACUAAUGGACAGGAAGUUUUUUCAGGUGAAAGCCUCGGUGAUACCUUGUGGUCCUUGUUUCCGGGGUGAAUCAAACCCCUUGCUGCCCAGCACCCAUCGCACAGACUGAAUUUUCCUCCCACCCUUACCUCGGGCCUUAGAGAAAGGCCUCUUCCUCACGUAUUGCCGCUCCAUUCUGGCUGGGUGAAGAUGAACCACGAAGGAUGGUCACCGGCAAGAUGUUUCUCCUCCUCCCACGUAGAGAUGAUGUCCCAAACUCUCACAAGUUGGGGACCUUGAUGUAGGCAGAACCGUUUGUAAUUUGGUAUCCAAAGUCGCUCUCCCACAGGAGACCUCGGACCCACAACCUCUCCAAAGAGCAGUUGGGAUCUGAGUGAGCACCAAGGUUUCCAGUAACUCUUGUGUGACAUCAUCGCUGACAUCGCUCAGUUCCAAGGGCCCAGUUUGAAUCUAAACAGCGCACUAGGAAAAAAUAUGGCAACUGUUGUGGGAGAGGCUAGGAGGCUGGGAGGAGGGAAAUUAUAUCUUAAAAAUGAAUUGAAAUGUUCACUUAAAGAAGUCAACAUCUAAGAGGAAGGAAACUGUGAGUUGAGGAAAUAGAAGAGUAUAAUGAGUCGCUGUUUCUCCCAAACCUCUUCUCUGGCCCUGAAUCAAAUCUCUCCAGCCCUAGAAACACAAUGUCCACUCUGAACACCUCUCAGGCCCCCUUUGCCACUUAGGCUUCACACAGGCUGUUCCCUCUGACUAGUAGACGUUCUCUCCCUUCCUGUUGACUGGUUCCUCCUCCAAGGUACCCAGUCUGUGCUUCUGGUUUAUGUAUUCAGAGGACCUAGUAAUCUUUUAGUAAUCCUCCAUCAUAGCACUGAGUGAUAGGAGAUGCUCAAUUUCCAAUUUGUGUCUUCCAAAUGUGUUGUAAAUAACUUGGGGACAAAGAUGAGGUCUGCCUCAUAUUUGGCAGUCCCAGAAAGUGAGACAGAACCCCACCCAUAGGAGAUACCCAAUAUAUAUCUAUUGAUUAAAUAAAAGAAAACUCUUCCAAAAGACUCACCCUUCGUAGCCAUCCAUGUACAAUGGAGUUUUUGGUCUGUUGCCUGGAGGUACCAUCACUCAGUGGUGGUGUCUAGGCCACUCUCUCUUGACCUCCUGACUCUAAACCCUGUGAAGCCUCUUGGCCUGUCCACACGCUUCUCCCUUGGAGCCACUAAAAAGGGUAGGAUUACAUCAUCACAGAAAAGCACUGAGACUCCAGACGUCUAUGGUCAACCUGCCUGGGAGGCUUAGGAGAGCCCUCGGGGAAAGGUCCACUGUCCUCUGCUUGAUCUCCUUUUUUGUCCAGGGGGCAAUUAGAAAAGGAACAAGCAAAUUGUUGAAACAUUUUAAGGCAGGGUUUGGGAAGUUGUGCUUGGUAGGUAGAGGAGAGCCUGAGGAUUUGAAGGAAAAUGAAAGAUGUCAACAUGGGAGCAGAGGGCUCGCUUUGUGUGACGACAGAUGGUAGAAUGUGGGCAAGUGGUUGGAAAUAUAUAAAAAAAGAAAAUCUCCUAACCAUCCACUCGUAUUUCAAAAUUUAGGUCAAGCAUCACUUCCUGGUGGAGCCUUUCCGACCCUACACCUGGUAGAAUUUCCCAACCGUGCUCCACACUCUAUUGUAUUUAAGAAACGCUUGUGCCACAACUAGGGACAAACUUGAUUGCAUUUACAUGUUGUGAUGGAUAGCAAAAAUGGCCACAUGUUCUAAUAUGUAUGUAUCCAUACAUAUUAUAUGACCUACAGCUCCCUUUCUGAAGAGCAAGAUUCCUCCUCCAGUCCUUGAAUUUGGACUGAUCUAUGAUUCCUUUGGCCUUUGGGACAGUGUAAAGACCAAUAGAAGCAGAGACCGAAUAUAAUUAGACACAUCGUGACUUGCUCUCUUACCAAAAAUGAAACCCAUCACUCUCAAGUAUAUUCUAACUCAUAGUGACCCUGAAGGACAGAGUAGAACUGCCCCAUAGGGUUUCCAAGGCUGUAAUCUUUACAGAAGGAGAGUGCCAUGUCUUUCUUCUGCAGAGCAGCUGGUGGGUACAAACUGAUUACCUUUCCUUUAGCAACUGAGCCCUUAACCACUGCACCACCAGGGCUCCUCCUUGCCCUCUUGCUGCUCUUCAAACACUGAGAACCCAUGGGAACAGCCCAGGCCACCCUAAUAAAUGACAAGAGACCAUUAGAGAGAGAAUCCAGCUGAGAAGAUUUCAGGCCCUCUGCCCGCCAGCUGACAUGGUGGCUGAUUCCAGAUACAUGAGGGCGCCCAGCCGAGAGCGGCUGAGUCUGCCCCAGACCAGAAGAACCCCAAACUGCCAACCUGCAAAACUGUGAGUGAAGUAACUGCUUGUUCUUUUAAGGCACUUCAUUUUUGGGUCAUUUGUUAUACAGCAAUUGAUAACUGAUUUGUUAACUGGGCUGUUUCUCUCACCAGACUGCAAGGAAUCUUUUCUUAAUCAUUUCUGUAUCAACAGUAUCUGGCAGAGGGUUGUUCAUGUGGUCAUUAGACAGUAGAAAUUUCUUCAUUUACAUAAUUUAAAAGUUUCUAUCAUUAUGUUUUAACUUUUAUAAAUAAGAUAUGGCUGGAUUUGCAAGUCUAAGCUGAGUGUACAUGUUUUUUCCUUAGGUAUUAAUCCCUUUUUCUUGCUAUUACUCAUACAUUUAGACAUAAUUCCAAUAUUAUACUUCAUAUUCACUGUUCUUUUUUUUUAUUAUUAUUAUUCUGCCUUUCCUGUUUUUUUUUUAUUGGAAUGGUGAAAUUUCUCUUACUUUCUUUUUCCUUCUAGCGAUUUGAAACUUGUAUUUUCAAUUCCUAUUCUUUUAUAGCAAACAUGAGAUCUUUGAACAUUUUAAUAUUUGGUAUAUUGUAUCAAGUUCAUAUCUCAGUUCUCCUCUCAAACAGUAAUUUUUUGCUAGCUGCCAUUGAGGUGACUCCGACUAAUGGUGAACUUAGGUAACACAGAACUAAAGUUUGCCAGGUCCUGUGUCAUCCUCACAAGUGCCAGCAAUUUAGAUUCCAUCAUUAUGGCUAAUGUGCCAGUCCAUCUCACCAAGGGUCUCCUACGGCCUUGUUGGCCUUCUUCUUCACCAACCAUGAUAUUCUCCUCUAGGACUGAUUAAUCUGUCCUGAUGACAUGUCCAAAGCAAGUGAAUUGGACAGUAUUCUCUUGUGAUCUGUAAGGGUUUAAUUGGCUAAUUUUCAGAAGUAAAUCUCCAGGUCUUUCUUCCUAGUGUGUCUUAGUCUUGAAGCUCCACUGAAACCUGUCCACCAUGGAUAACCCUGUUGGUGUUUAAAAUACUGGUGGCCUAGCUUCCAGCAUCAUAGCAACAUCCAAACCACCACAGUACAGCAAACUAAGAGACAGGCAGUAAGCCGAACAGGGUAUUGUUGUUGUUAGGUGUCAUCAGGUCAGUUCUAAUUUAUAGUGACCCUAUAUACAGCAGAACAAAACACUGGCCAGUCUUGUGCCAUUCUCACACUUGUUAUUAUGCUAGAGCCCAUUGUUGCAGCCACUGUGUCAAUCCAUCUCACUGAGGGUCUUCCUCUUUUUCACUGUCUACUUUAUCAAGCAUAAUGUCCUUCUCCAGGGCCUGGUCACCGCUGAUAACAUGUCCAAAGCGUGUGAGACAAACACUCACCAUCUGUGCUUGUAAGGAAUAUUCUGGCUGUACUUCCUCCAAGACAGAUUUGUUUGUUCUUCUGGCAGUCUGUGGUAUAUUCAAUAUUGUUCACCAACACCAUAAUUCAAAGGCAGCAUUUCUUCUUCGGUUUCCCUUAUUCAUUGUCCAGCUUUCACAUGCGUAUGAGGCGUUUGAAAAUGUCAUGGCUUGUGUCAGGCACACCUUAGCCUUCAGAGUGACAUCUGUGCUUGUCACCAGCUUAAAGAGUUCUUUUGCAGCAGAUUUGCAAUACAUCAUUUGAUUCCUUGAUUGCUGCUUCCAUGAGCGUGGACUGGGGAACCAAAUAAAAUGAGAUCCUUGAUAACUUCAAUCUUUUCUCUGUUUAUCAUGAUGUUGCUUAUUGGUCCAGUUGUGAAGAUUUUUGUUUUCUUUAUGUUGAGGUGCAACCCAUACUGAAGGUUGUAGUCUUUGAUAUUCACCACUAAGUGCUUCAGGUCCUCUUCACUUUCACCAAGUUUGUGUUAUCUGCAUAUCGUAGGUUGUUAAUGAAUCUUCCUCUAAGCCUAAUGCCACGUUCUUCUUCAUAGAGUGCAGCUUUUUGGAUUAUUUGCUCAGCAUACAGAUUGAAUAAAUGUAAUGAAAGGAUAGAACCCUGACACAAACUAUUCCUGAUCUUAAACCACAUAGUGCCCCUUGUUCUCUCUGAAAAACUGCCUCGUGGUCUAUGUACAGGUUUCAAAUGAGCAAACUUAAGUGUUCUAGAAUUUCCAUUCUUUGAAGAGUUAUCCAUAAUUUGUUAUGAUUCACACAGUAUAAUGCCAUUUCAUAGUCAAUAAAACACAUGGAAACAUCUUUCUGGUAUUCUGGUAUUCUCUGCUUUGAGCCCAGAUCCAUCAGACAUCAGCAAUGAUAUUCCUCAUUCCAUACCCUCUUCUGAAUCUGACUUGAAUUUCUGUUGCAACUUCUUUUUUUUUUUUUUAAUAACUUUUAUUAAGCUUCAAGUGAACGUUUACAAAUCCAAUCAGUCUGUCACAUAUAAGUUUACAUACAUCUCACUCCCUACUCCCACUUGCUCUCCCCCUCUUGAGUCAGCCCUUUCAGUCUCUCCUUUCUUGACAAUUUUUGCCUGCUUCCCUCUCUCUCUAUCCUCCCAUCCCCCCUCCAGACAAGAGUUGCCAACACAAUCUCAAGUGUCCACCUGAUAUAAUUAGCUCACUCUUCAUCAGCGUCUCUCUCCCACCCACUGACCAGUCCCUUUCAUUUCUGAUGAGUUGUCUUCAGGGAUGGUUCCUGUCCUGUGUCAACAGAAGGUCUGGGGAGCAUGGCCGCCGGGAUUCCUCCAGUCUCAGUCAGACCAUUAAGUUUGGUCUUUUUAUGAGAAUUUGGGGUCUGUAUCCCACUGAUCUCCUGCUCCCUCAGGGGUCCUCUGCUGUGCUCCCUGUCAGGGCAGUCAUCGAUUGUGGCCGGGCAGCAACUAGUUCUUCUGGUCUCAGGAUGAUGUAGGUCUCUGGUUCAUGUGGCCCUUUCUGUCUCUUGGGCUCUUAGUUGUCGUGUGGCCUUGGUGUUCUUCAUUUUCCUUUGCUCCAGAUGGGUUGAGACCAAUUGAUGCAUCUUAGAUGGCCGCUUGUUAGCAUUUAAGACCCCAGACGCCACAUUUCAAAGUGGGAUGCAGAAUGAUUUCAUAAUAGAAUUAUUUUGCCAAUUGACUGCAACUUCUUUUUAAUGAUCUUCAGCAAAAUAUUACUGGGUUUUGAUAUUAAUGAUAUUGUUUGAUAGUUUCUGAAUUUUGUUGAAUCACUUUCUUUGGAAUGUGCACAAACAUGGAUCUCGUCCAAUCGGAUGGCUAAAUUAUUCGGCAUAGACGAUUGAGCACCUCCAGUGCUGCAUCUGUUUGUUGAAACAUCUCAACUGGUACCUGUCAGUUCUUGGAGUCUUGUUUUUUGCCAAUGCCUUCAGUGAAGCUUGGACUUCUUCCUUCAAUACCAUCAGUUCUUGAUGACAUGCUACCUCCUGAAAUGGUUGAACAUUGACCCAUGCUUUUGUGUGUGUGUGUGUGUUUGUGUGUGUGUGUCUGUGCAGUGACCCUGUGUAUUCUUUCCAUCUUAUUUUGAUGCUUCCUGUGUUGUUCAAUAUUUUGCCCGUACAAUCCUUCACUAUUGCAUCUCGAGGCUUGGAUUUUUUCUUCAGUUCCUUUAGCUUGAGAGAUGCCAAGCAUGUUCUUCCCUUUUGUUUUUCUAACGCCAAGUCUUUGCGCAUGUCAUUAUCAUACUUUGUCUUCUCGAGCCGCCCUUUGUAAAUCUUCUCUUCAGCUCUUCUACUUCAUCAUUUCUUUCAUUUCCUUUAGCUACUUUACGUUCAAGAGCAAGUUUCAGAGUAUCUCUGACAUUCAUAUUGGUCUUUUCUUUCAGUAUAAGGGCUGUAUUUGAGGGUACCAUCAUUUUUAUAACUUGCAAGUAUCCUCUGUCAGGGCAGUUAUUGACUGUAGCUGCGCACCACCUAGUUCUUCUGGUUUCAGGCUGAUGGCGUCUCUGGUUUAUGUGGCCAUUAAGGGAAGACCUGUUAUUCAAGGAAUUAUACUUAGAGCAAAAUUUGUAUAUUUAUGUAUAAUUUAAAGCUUCUCCUUUAAGAUUGCCUUUCCCUGAACAGAAAGCUCUCACCAUGUCAUUAUGAGAAAUACUCUUUCAGUGUGAGGCAGAAAGAGAUGUCCAUAUUUGAAAGUCCGAUGGUACAAAUCUCAGUAGCCAAGACACAAUCACAUCAACUGUGUGUGUGGGUGGGUUGUAUAUGUCAACAUAAGGGUCUGUAUUUUUCUGAGUAUGAAGGUAGGAUUGGCGAGUUAAGGAAGAAAGAUAUGAAAGCAUCUUGGGAGUGGAGUGCAAGCUCCGUGACAGAAGCUGCAGGAGGGGAUCUCUCAAGAGGGUUUUAGAGGCCAGUUAGAAACCUAGGAAGCAAAAGGAAAUAGGGCCAGUGGAGGGCAGCGCUAGAGUAGUGGUGGGGGGUAGCAAAAAUAAUGGUAGUGAAGAGGGCAACAAAACUGCCCUGAAAGGAGUGGCAAAUUAAAGAUCCUAGACAAAAUUCAGGUUAAGAAAAGUAGGAAUGUAAAAAAAUUCUAUCCUUUAGCUCUCUUUGCUGUGAGGGUUUUUUAGGCCCUUCGGGAGAUGUGGGGAGAAGACAUAGGAGGAGAAGGGGAGUUCCUGAAUCUAGGGGAGGAGUCUGCAAGCCAUCUUCUGCCCUCAAUGAUGUGGGCUCUGGGCUCCUUCAACUUCUCACUCCCAGAACCUCCUGAAAUAUUUUCUUAAUUCUUCACAUAGUACAUUAAUAUCAUGUCAUUAGAAAAUAUAAUAAGUACGCUUCUCUCUAACCACCCUUUCCCCCAUCGUAUACUCUCUGCACUAGUUGUCCACUGGCUUCCUUCCUUUCCACCAGGUACAGAGCCUAAACAACAGAGUGCCUGGAAAGCUCUCGAACUCCCAGUGAAUUCUGUAGCUUGAUCCCUCACUUAUUCCUACAUUUCUUAUUGAUAUAAGAAUUUGGUUAAUUGCCUACCAAAUGACAGGAAAUGCUUUCUCAGGGCGCUCCUCCUUAUGACCUUAUCCAUUCCCAAUUCCUUCAUCUUGUCCUAUCACGGCUCUCUUUUCUGGUGGAAACCAGACCCUUUGUUCCGUAACACACAUCAAUCUGGGACAAUUUUUCCUCUCACCCUUAUCUAGAGUCUUAGAGAAAGGCCUCUUCCUUGUGUAUCACUGUUUCAUCCUCUCUGGGUGAAGAUGUCCAAUCAUAGUGAUGUUCUGAAGGAUCUUUAUCCCUUUUCCCAGUUCUUCAUGAUGCAUGACCGUUUGAUGACUUGGGGACCCCGGUUUAGUCCAGAAUUUCUGUGAUAGAGUAGUUCCAGGUGCUCUCCCACAGGAUCUCAGAUCGACACCCUCUCCAAAAGAGUAGGUGAGAUCAGCAUGAACGGCAUGGCUUCCAUAACCCUGUGUGACAUCAUUCCUGACAUUGCUCAGUUCCAUGAGCCCACUUUAAAUAGAAACACAGCAAAAACAAAAAUAUGAAACAGUUCAAGUAGGAGCUUGAAUACUGCCAGUCCCAGACUGGGAAAAGGGGGCUUAGAUAUAAAAAAGGAAUUGCAACUUUUCUCUGCACUCCAUUCGUUACUAUCCCUUGGUGGGGAGAGAGAGAGUACAGGGAAUCGUUACAGUGUGACCAGGAGUUGAUUUGUCCAAAACUUUUCAUUUGACUCUCUUGGAAUCAUGUCUCUCCGGCCCUGGUCAUACAAUGUCCGCUCUGAACACCUCUCAGGUCUCCUUAGCCUCUGGGGCUUCACACAGGCUCUUCCCCGUGACUAGAUUUUCUCUCCCAUCCCAUCUGAUGGCCUACUCUCUGGUGAAGCAUGGUGGUUAAGAGAACUGACCCCAUUGGAACAGAUUGGGCUUAUGAGCUCACCAUAAAAUGCUAAGACUCAGGAAUUUGUGGUCAGCCAGAAUGGGAGGUUUAGGAGUUGACUUGGGGAAAGUCCAUGACCUCUGCAUCUUCCAGGCUCUGCUUUCACUCUGGAGCCCAUUUAGAAAAGGAGCUGGUAAAUGGAGACAGCAUUUGAGGAAGCAAUUAAGAACGUUGGGGUGCUGAUGACUUCUCAGAGGAAAAUAAAAGUUUCAACAGGGAAAUGCUAAGGUCUACUCUUGUAUGACUCCAAACUAUAAAUAGGGACGAGUGGUUGGAAAACAGUAGAACAAAAGAUGAUCUGCAUCUGGUCACAAAUGUUUCAGAUGCCUCAGUGGCUUCAGCCUGUCUCCUCAGACUUCUCUCUGGAGAAGACAUGGGGCUUCCUGGACCCGGGCCUUUUGUCACGCCUUAACUAUCCAAUCAUAUUCUCAACUUGGUUCAGACAUCACUUCCCUAAAUAUCCUCCUGGUAGAUUUCUUCACUUCUUGCUCCCUACUCCAUUGUACCUGCAAAACCCUUUACCACAGCAUAAAACACAAUUGCAUUUACUUUUUGUGGUUAAUGUAAGAAAUGUCUACACAUUCAUUCUCUCUCUGUGCCCAUGCCUUCUAUGAGACUCUGGAGCGCCUUUCAUUAGCAGUAGGAGUCUUUCUCCAUCCCUUAGUUGGGGCUGACAUUAUUGUUUUGGACAUUGGGAUGGUAGAAAACCUGAUAAAAUGAGAGAGUUGGAAGACUUUACAUUGAGACUUCCCUUUUGUUGCUCUUAAACCCUGAGAACUCAUGGGAACAUCCUCAGGCCAGCCUGCUAGAUGAUGGAAGACCAGUGGAGGGAGGAUCUAGCGGUUUCACUGACUUGAUGUUAUGAACUGGCUCCCAGCUACCUGGAAGCAAAUUGUAGACACAUGAGGAAGCCGUGUUGUGAGCCACUGAGGCUGGCCCAGAUCAGAAGAGCUCCAGACUGACAACUUGAAAAAUUGUGAGCUGGUAAAUUGUCGCUCUUUUAAGACACGACAAUUUGGGGUCAUUUGUAACACAGCAAUACAUGACUGAUACAACUGUUAACUUGGCUGUUUCUCUCACCAGGCAUUGAGGGAAAUUCUCUGAGUCAUUUCAUCAUCAAGAGCAACUGCCAUAGGGUCUCACAUGUAGCUGUUAUAGUGUAAAUGUUUGCUGACUUCAUGGAUGAAUGAAUAAUAUGAAUUGUAAGUGAAUCAGCACAAAUUCAUGUGUGCAAGAAAACUUGAUAUUUCUUUAAAUAAACUGAAUUCCGACUCAGAGCUCUCGGCUUACAAAAUUGGGGUAAAAUUUUAACCUUACUUCUUUAUAGGGGUAUAUUUGGUGUUGGUUUAUUUUCUAGGUACCCCGGGGUCUAAAGAAGGACCAAGGUUUGGAGAUCUUUAACACACCCAUCGCCUCAGCCUAUGUGGGUGAUCUCUCUAGAAGCAUUGUCUCUGCUGCUUCCAUUCUCAGAUGGAGCAUGAGAACCUUGGCAGGGCUGGGAACACCAUAACGUGGUUUGUCUACUUGUGUGCCUGCAUUACCCUUUGAAGUGCUGCCACCUACCCCAGGGCAUUAUCAAGAAGCAGGCCUCACCCCUUCCCAAUGUGUAGGUCUCUGCUGUCUGACUCCCACUCUUCCCCUGGGUUCCAGUUCACUCAGUGUGAUUACUCCAAUGAGCUGAGACUCUUACAACAGACUCUUCAGAGUCUCGAAGUUUCAGGGCUUUAACUGUGUGUCUAAUUACCUCUUGAAAUGAGGUAGGGAAGGUUGAAAAACAUAGGAAGAUUUUAUUUUGAAUUUAAUGUUUCAAUAAAAUUUCUUGCCAUGCAUUUUCAAAUGGUUCUGCCUAACAAUUCCCUCUGUUCUCUUACAAGAUGCAGGACAAUGAAGAGGGAAUGUUUGUUGUGUCAUAAUCUCCAGGAUGCAAAGUGCACAUGGGGUCCAUUCCCCCCGAUGCUCACACUUGAGCACCACACCCACAUGGAAUCUCUGCAAGUGUUACUGAGUCCCUCACACAUCCACAGUGAACAACUUUCAGAUUCUCAUAAGCAGGAAUUAUUUGUGUCCUAAGACGAGGAACUCCUUGGAGACCCUACUGUGUCCUACAGGGUCACUGUGAGUCGGAAUCGACUGCAUGGCAUCAGGUUUUGUUUUUGCUUUUUGGGGGGUUGGUUGAUGUCAGCUGCAGGAUAGAGUUUAAAAAAAUGUUGACAGCAUAGCAGGUAAAACCAACCAAAUGAAACUGAAAUGAAAUGUCUUUUUCACACUUACUGACCUCACAGUUCCUUCAAAGUGUUUACUUUCCACUGGGUUCAGAGGCGAGAGACACAGCUUGGGACACCUCCAAAAUGAUACGUCUCCCUCCUGAUGUUAGGUAACAUUACAUACUGUUUGGCUGGUUUAUCAUCUGACUGUUCCACAAAAAUAGAAGGCCCAUGCAGGCAGGACCUUUCUGCUGUGUUGGUCAGAGUAUCCUGGUUCCUGGCACCUAAGAAGCUUCCAAAAAUGAUAUGUCUGAUUGAAUGAGUGGGUGGGUUUUUAUAAAAACCAUGGAAGAGUUCUGUUUAUGUAGUUACAAUAGUGAAAACAGGCAUAAGGAAAUGGAGACUAGGACUCGUAUAACUCAAAGUUAUGUAUAAUGAAAACAGAACUUGUUAAUGAAGAGAUAAAAAAAUAAGAUGUAUUAGUAGAAUGUACCCCUUCACUUUGGCUGGAGAAAGAGGUGGUAAAAUUGGGUUGUUUUCGCCUACUGAUUCAUAGGUUGUAUAUAUUUAAUUGAAAUGUUAGUCUUUCGGGAGUCACAAAUAUUUCUAUUGAGAUAUAAUUCACCCGCCAUAACAUUGCCUUUUAUAAUGUGCACAAUUCUGUGGUUUCUAGUAUAUGGACAGAGUUGUGCAACAAUCACCACUGUCUAGCUUCAGGAUAUUUUCAGUACCCUGUAAAUAAACGCCCUGCAUAUUAGUAGUCAUCCUCAUUACUCCUUUCCUUCAAGACGUACCAACUGCUAAUCUACAUUCUGUCUGUGUUGGUUUGUCUGUCCUGGAUAUUUCAUGUAAAUGGAAUCAUGUACCACGCAGUCAUUUCUGUUUGGCUUCUUUCACCUAGCAUAACGUUCUCAAGGUCUGUCCAUAUUGUGCCAUGUAUUAGUACCUGAUGCCUUUUAAUGGCUGAGUAAUAUUCCGUUUUACGAGUAUACCACAGUUUAUCUAUCAGUUCAUGACUUUUGGAUUCUCUCCACGUUUUGGCUAUUUAUAAAUAAUUCUACUAUGCAAAUUCUUUUGUAAGUUAUUAUGUGAACGUGCUUCAGUUGUCCUGGAUGCAUACCUAGGAAUGGGAUUGCUAUCUUGCAUGCUAACUCUAUGUUUACCUUUCUGAGCAAGUACCUAACUGUUUUCCAAAGCGAUUGGAUCAUGUUACAUGUCCACCAGCAAUGUAUGAGGGUUCCAGUUUCUCCACAUCCUCACCACUUGUGUUGUCCAUCCUAUUGAUUUGAGCCAUCUUAGUGGUUUUGAAAUAAUAGUGCGUUUUGGUUUUGAUUCGCAUUUCCCUAAUGACUAAUGAGGUUGAGCUUCUUUUCAUGUGAUUAUUGACCAUUUCUAUACCUUCUUUGGAGAAAUGUCUAUUCAAAUCCUUAGCCUAUGAAUUUUUCUUCAGAUUUUUACCUGUAUUUUUGCUUUCUUCAUAUAGUUUUUGAUAUGCCUAACAUCUAUAUCUGUAUCUUACCAGUUUUAACCUUCACAGCUUUGGGAUUUUUAGAAAAUCUUUCUCUUUUACCAAUAAAAAGCAAAACAAAAUCUCUCAUAGUUUCUUCUGAAAUUUCUAUGGUGGCAUAUUUUACUUUUGAAUAUGUGAUCCUUUUGGAAUUUCGUUUCCUGAAAGCUGUGAGAAAAAGGAUGAAAAUAUUUUUACAGGUGAUCUAAAUGAUUACCAAAUUGCUGCAAGCACUCCUUUUUGCCUUUUUGCAUAAGCCAUAUCUUAACUGCAUUUUCCCAUAUUCCAUAUGGAAAAACAUUUUUACAGAAGGAGGCCCGCCAUUUCCAGCCAUUUCAUUUUAAGGUUUUGCUUUGCUGGAAUAGAAAUCCCUUCGAUACCUUUUCUACACAGCUGUUCUCAUAGCCAAUAAAAAUUUUGUGUGAGUAGGACUCCUGUGAAUUUAUAAGAUGAAGUUGAAUUUUAUAACUGGUUCCAUGUGGUGCAGCCCAGCAGAAGGACAGACAGAAGCAGUAGCUCCAGAGGGAACAGAAGCUAUAAGAACAUGAGCCUCUAGAGAUUUGCUGCUGCAUUUCACAGAAAGCUCUAGACUUUUCUUUAUAAGCUUAUCAUUAUAUAUGGCCAUCACCUUAGAACAGACGAGAAUAGUGCUUUUUAAGUGAGGCAUUCAGGACAGGACUGGAGAAAAAUGUAGAACAAAAUCCUAAUUCAAAAAAAAAAAGCAAAACCCAGAAUUGCUAGCUUGACAGAGACUGGAGAAACCCUGAGAAUAUGACCCCCAGACAUCCUUUUUUAGCUCAAUAAUGAAGUCACUCCUGAGGUUCACCCUUAACCAAAGAUUAGACAGGCCCAUAAAACAAAAUGAGACUCCUGGGGCAUACCAGCCCAGGAAGAAGGACUAGAAGGCAGGAGAGGACAGGAAAGCUGGUAAUAGGGAACCCAAGUUUAAGAAGAGAGGGUAUUGACAUAUCUUGAAGUUGGUAAACAAUGUCGUAAAACAAUAUAUGUCCUAACUGUUUAAUGAGAAGCUACUUUGCUCAGUAAACCUUCAUCUAAAGAACCGUUAAAAACAAAAGUUAGGCAUUCAGAAGGAGGGUGUUCAUUCCCUAGGAAAUAGUUAGACUUAUGUGUUCUGGUGAACAUAUGUACCCAUUUCUACUGGGUAUGUAUCUAGAAGUAGAAUUGCUUGGUCAUAGAAUAUAUGGAUGUUCACAGCUGUAGUAGAUAUGGCCAAAGCAUUUUUAAAGUGGUUGUACCAAAUUACACUUUCACUAGCAGUAGAAUAGAAUUCCAGUUGCUCCAUGUUCUACCAAAUAGUUGGUGUUUCCAUUUUUUUUUUUUUUAUUUUAGCCAUUCUGGUGUGCAGGGUUAGGAUCACAUUGUGAGUUUUUAUUAGAAUUCCUCUGAUAACUGAUGUAGUCCCUUUCCAUAUGUAUGCUGGCCAUACAGAAAUCUUUUAUAGAGCGUUCAAGUAUUUACUUGGCUUUCUAUUGAAUUCUUCUUUUUUUUUCUUUAUGAAUCAUCCUUUGUAUAUUCUGGAACCAAGUUUGUAGUAGGAUGUAUGUAUUGCAAAUAACUUCUGCUUCCACAUGAAUUCACCCUUGUAGCUUGUCAUCAACUUUCAAAUUAAAAAGCAUGCCUUUUACAAAAACAGGCAAAUGUAUAGAGACGAAAGUUUAUAAGGGUUCCCAGGGGCAGGAGGGAGGGAAUAAAGGGGUGUUAUUGCAUAUGGAAACUGAGUUUCUGUUUACAAUGAUUGAAAAAUCACACUGAUUAAGGGUAGGGUUGCACAACCGAUUAAUUCCUUUUAAUAGUGUGUACACCUGUACAACUCGUUCACUUGGCAAAGGUUUGUGUUAUAUUUACAUCAACAACAAAAAUGUAUAGCUGCUGAGGCAAAAUGAUAGUACUGAAUUGAUGAGAUGUAUUCUUUUAUUAUACUCUUCUCUAUUUUCUCAUUUGUUUUUAUAAGAAGUUACUGUUAAAAUCAAAGGAAAUAAAACGUUUGCAUGAUGAAAGUGGACAGCAAUGACUAUUCCACCCAUUGUGUCCCUCUGAAGUUUAAAUGAGGAACUACAUGCCUCCAGCAGACGCCCAGCCUUACUUAGCACUCAGGAAAUAUUCAUUUCUCCCUCUCCUCUGACUCAUGGUCUUCUCCCCUUGUUUAUUUGCUCUUUUCUGUUUCCAACUGGCUGCAUAUGACCACCAGGCUUCCUGACUCCAUCAUUCUGCUUUCCAUACCAAUGUUAUUGUAACCUUGGGAUCUUGGGCAGUGGUGAAAGUUACACACUGUCCCUGCUAUUACGAAGGGGACAAGGCAGUGCAGGUGGGAGGGGCAGUGGGGAAAUUCGGCUUAGAGAAAGGACAGACCACCUUCCAGGAACCACACUGACCUUCAGAGAGCUUUGUUGGCUGUGGUUCACCUGGCCAGCUUGUAGGCGUCAGGGUGCCCUAGGGCUCGGUGUUUAGUCCUCUCUCUCUAUUGACACCCUCUGUCUGGAAUGCCUCAGUGUGUCCACAGCCAUUGGUCUGUAGCUGAGGACGUGAGAUUUACACCUCCAGCCAUUUCAGCUCCUCCUGGGUGCAGACUUAUAGUCAAAUAUCAGCUUAAAUCUCUGUAUCGGCCUCUUCAUGUAUAAAAUGUGCAUUAUAAUGGUACAUUCCUCAUAGGGCUAUCAUGCAGAACAAAUAUCUUAGGAAAGGAGAAGCCCUUACAAGAAUCCCAGCACCAGCGCAUGUACUCAGUAAGUGUUAGCUGUUAGUAUUAU